UACGUAGGGUCCGAGCGUUGUCCGGAAUUACUGGGCGUAAAGAGCUCGUAGGUGGUUUGUCGCGUUGUUCGUGAAAACUCACAGCUCAACUGUGGGCGUGCGGGCGAUACGGGCAGACUUGAGUUCGGUAGGGGAGACUGGAAUUCCUGGUGUAGCGGUGAAAUGCGCAGAUAUCAGGAGGAACACCGGUGGCGAAGGCGGGUCUCUGGGCCGAUACUGACGCUGAGGCGCGAAAGCGUGGGUAGCAAACAGG
rnacentral:rRNA from 1 species